ensembl:lncRNA
CAUGCACUAAAAGUGUGUAUACUACCGUACCAUGCACUAAAAGUGUGUAUACUACGUAUAGCAUGCACUAAAAGUGUGUAUACUACGCGUACCAUGCACUAAAAAGUGUGUAUACUACGUAUAGCAUGCACUAAAAAUGUGUAGAAAAAGCACACACAUUUGAGUGUGUAGCAAAAGAGUAUGCAAGGAUCAGGGACAACCUAACACGUCAUGUAACGGAAGAGAACAAACAUUUCAGCUUUUUUUUUUUCAACUAGUUGUUGCCUAGUUACGCACACUUGCUGUGAACAAACAUUUCAGCUUUUCCUCAUUCACGAUUCCUUAUAUAAUUUCUGCUAUCUUCCCUAAAACGCAUCCUACCUUAAUGCCGAGAGACGCGGCGCACCGUCGCAGAUCUACCAGACGCAGAUCCGCCAUGUCUCAAGGUCGAAUUCGCCAAAGCCAACCGGUCGCAAAACUCCUCCUCCCUCGUUCAAGGAGUCGGAGUUGGAAAAUCAGCUGAAAAAGUCUCCCCGGAUCCACACUUCAAAAAUCUACAGGACGUACUAGACCAUCCGGGUACCUUUUGGAUACUCGUUUCAACAUGCUACGAUUUGGGACACACCCAUCGUGACCUCGGAUACUAUUUAGGACGCACAGUAGGUGAAUUGGGACGCGGCAUUUGUUUACGCUUAUAAGUACAUUAUUAUAUAGUUGCGUAUCUGCUUUCAUUGAACUUUUACACUAAAAACGAGAGAAUAUAUCUUUACAUCAGGUACAGGUUACUGUGAGGAACAACACCGACGCAAUUAAGAGAUGUGUUUUUCCUUCAUGGGUCGCUGCCGUUGGUAAAGUGUGUGUAACUGUAAGUGAGCUUCGCGUGCUUCGCUGCGUGUAUCUGCAGAGUUUAGGACAGACAUUAGGACUGUAUCCUUCAUUAGUGUUAAUCAGGCUUUUACUCCAUCAGGCCUGCUUUCCCUCUGUGCCACGGCCUCCGAGGCCCUCAUUAACACACCGGUGUGUGUUAGCGAGCAAACAGCCUCGUUAGUCUCGUUAUACUAUGCAUGAGUGGUGCCGUGUGUGUGUCUCUCUCUCUCUCUCUCUCUCUCUCUCUCUGUGUGUGUGUUUGCGAUUCCUUCUUCGUGCCCUUCCAACCCGCAAAAAUGUAGCAAAAGGUCACGACCUCAGGUGGUGUGUGUAUUGUGUGUAGAGUGCAAGUGUGUAGUUCUGGUGUUUCCAGGUAAAGCCACCAGUUUACUGUUGAUAUGUAAACACCACCACACAGGAAUAAUAGUGCGCGGUUGCAAGUGGAUUCACACCAUUUAUUUUCAGCGCGCCCGCCUCCCGCGUGGGCUAAAAACACUUUCGUUUUCUCAGAUGGAUGAAAAAAAACAAAAACAAACAAAAAAAAAAAAAAAAGAAAGAGUCAUUUUAAUUAAACACACCGCCACUAAUCACUUGGAUUUCACACCAUGUUUUCUCCUACAGCUGUGUGGUUGCCCUUGUACCAAGUUUAUGGUAAAUUGCUGUGAUUAUUAGCCACAAUCUGCUAACUGCCUAUAGAAGCAGAUGGUUCAUGAGUAGGGCUCGGAUGAGUCAUUACUACUUAUUUAUUUAUUUAUUUAUUUAUUUAUCUGCAUCCGAAGGCGAACAGAAUGCAGUCGUUUUCAUUUCAUAAAAGAUCAUUAAUAUGCAAUGGAUAUAAUAUAAUUAAAUGUGAUAUAAUACCGCUGCAGUCUUAAAUCUCUCUGUUGUGAUGUAUACAGGACAAUAUUUAUUUAUUUGUUUGUUUGUUUAUUUAUUUCUUAUAGAAUGCGAAUACAUUCUUUUGAGGGAAAUGAUGAUAUGUUCUAAACAGAUACAAAUAGAGAGAUGAAUAGGAGGCACACUUCAGUUUAUUAGGAGCUAUCCGGUCAGCCAAUCAUAUGGCAGCGGUGCAAAGCAUGACAUUACACGGAUACAGGUCGAGAGGUUCAGUUAAUGUUCACGUCAGACAUCUGAAUGGGGGGGGGGGGGGGGUUUCAGUGACCUGUUGAUGCCAGACAGGAUGGAUCGAGUAUUUCAGAAAGUGCCGAAUGCGUAGCAGGAAGGCUACUGUAACUCAAAUAACCACUGUUUACAAGCGUGGUGAGCAGAAGAGGGAUGGAUGGGCUACGACAUGUGGAAAGCUCCAUCGGGUUCCAGUCUCGUCAGCCAAGAACCGGAGCCCGAGGCUAGUGAAGACGCCAAAACUGGAUAGUUGAAGAUCGUAAAAAACACCGCUCGGUCGCCUUUUCUCAAUAUUCGACCGUCCGGUUUGGGUUUCUGGCACGCAGGAGCAGGGGAGCCCGAUGUGCAAGUGUUCCUAUGAAAGUAAGUGUGUGUUCUAGUGAGUCCAGCUCUCCGACAACACACAUAUAAGGUGUGUUUUGUCAACACGCCUAUAUUUUUCACCACAAUCCUUUGCUAAAUGAGGGUAGUUAUUCCAAGGUUCCUUCGUUCCUUUGUUGAUUUCCAUACAGACAGAACGUGAUGAGGGCUACCGUAGUUUAGGCAAUUGCAUCUUAAGAUAUAAGAGCCGGUUUAUCUAUGAUCGGUAACAUGUGAAGACGUGAAGCAGUCCUCUUGAAAAGGGUGGUCUGGGGAUCACGUCAACCAAACCACGAUACCAUACGGUCCACGUCAAGUGCGGAAGAUAUCUUCGCUCCGCUGGUAACGUGGUCAGUUCAACACGUCACGCGUCUUCCUAUUU